rnacentral:rRNA from 1 species
GACGAACGCUGGCGGCGUGCUUAACACAUGCAAGUCGAACGGAAAGGCCCUGCUUUUGUGGGGUGCUCGAGUGGCGAACGGGUGAGUAACACGAGAGUAACCUGCCCUUGACUUUGGGAUAACUUCACGAAACUGGGGCUAAUAUCGUAUAGGAGCUCCUGCUGCAUGGUGGGGGUUGGAAAGUUUCGGCGGUUGGGGAUGGACUCGCGGCUUAUCAGCUUGUUGGUGGGGUAGUGGCUUACCAAGGCUUUGACGGGUAGCCGGCCUGAGAGGGUGACCGGCCACAUUGGGACUGCGAGACGGCCCAGACUCCUACGGGAGGCAGCAGUGGGGAAUAUUGCACAAUGGGCGCGAGCCGGAUGCAGCGACGCCGCGUGCGGGAUGACGGUCUUCGGGUUGUAAACCGCUUUCGCCUGUGACGAAGCGUGAGUGACGGUAAUGGGUAAAGAAGCACCGGCUAACUACGUG